rnacentral:misc_RNA from 1 species
CACGUGAGCCUCAAGCGUUACCCGGAUUUACUGGGCGUAAAGGGUGUGUAGGCGGUCAUGUUAGUCGUUCGUUAAAGCCCGGGGCUCAACCUCGGAUUCGCGAGCGAAACGGCAUGACUUGAGGGCGCAAGAGGUCUGCGGAACUCAUGGUGUAGGGGUGAAAUCCGUUGAUAUCAUGGGGAACACCGAAAGCGAAGGCAGCAGACUGGUGCGUUCCUGACGCUCAGACACGAAAGCCAGGGUAGCGAACGGG